rnacentral:rRNA from 1 species
AGUGAACGCUGGCGGUAGGCCUAACACAUGCAAGUCGAACGGCGGCACAGGAGAGCUUGCUCUCUGGGUGGCGAGUGGCGGACGAGUGAGGAAUGCAUCGGAAUCUACUCUGUCGUGGGGGAUAACGUAGGGAAACUUACGCUAAUACCGCAUACGACCUACGGGUGAAAGCAGGGGACCUUCGGGCCUUGCGCGAUUGAAUGAGCCGAUGUCGGAUUAGCUAGUUGGCGGGGUAAAGGCCCACCAAGGCGACGAUCCGUAGCUGGUCUGAGAGGAUGAUCAGCCACACUGGAACUGAGACACGGUCCAGACUCCUACGGGAGGCAGCAGUGGGGAAUAUUGGACAAUGGGCGCAAGCCUGAUCCAGCCAUACCGCGUGGGUGAAGAAGGCCUUCGGGUUGUAAAGCCCUUUUGUUGGGAAAGAAAUCCAGCUGGCUAAUACCCGGUUGGGAUGACGGUACCCAAAGAAUAAGCACCGGCUAACUUCGUGCCAGCCGCCGCCGUAA